GCGCAGGAAAAGAAACCAACAGGGAUUGCCCCAGUAACGGCGAGUGAAGCGGCAACAGCUCAAAUUUGAAAUCUGGCUUCGGCCCGAGUUGUAAUUUGCAGAGGAAGCUUUAGGCGCGGCACCAUCUGAGUCCCCUGGAACGGGGCGCCACAGAGGGUGAGAGCCCCGUAUAGAUGGAUGCCUAGCCUGUGUAAAGCUCCUUCGACGAGUCGAGUAGUUUGGGAAUGCUGCUCAAAAUGGGAGGUAAAUUUCUUCUAAGCUAAAUACCGGCCAGAGACCGAUAGCGCACAAGUAGAGUGAUCGAAAGAUGAAAAGCACUUUGAAAAGAGGGUUAAAUAGCACGUGAAAUUGUUGAAAGGGAAGCGCUUGUGACCAGACUUGCGCCGGGCGGAUCAUCCGGUGUUCUCACCGGUGCACUCCGCCCGGCUCAGGCCAGCAUCGGUUCUCGUGGGGGGAUAAAGGCACCGGGAACGUAGCUCCUCCGGGAGUGUUAUAGCCCGGGGCGUAAUGCCCUCGCGGGGACCGAGGACCGCGCAUCUGCAAGGAUGCUGGCGUAAUGGUCAUCAGCGACCCGUCUUGAAACACGGACCAAGGAGUCAAGGUUUUGCGCGAGUGUUUGGGUGUAAAACCCGCACGCGUAAUGAAAGUGAACGUAGUGAGAGCUUCGCGCAUCAUCGACCGAUCCUGAUGGUCUCGGAUGGAUUUGAAAUCA
rnacentral:rRNA from 1 species